AGUUUUCUUCGGGGCAGGGUGAAAUUCCCUACCGGCGGUUACAGUCCGCGACUCUCUUCUUCGGAAGAGACUGAUCUGGUGAAAUUCCGGAACCGACAGUUAAAGUCUGGAUGGGAGAAGAAAAUG
rnacentral:ncRNA from 2 species